ensembl:lncRNA
GAAGGAGAAUGAGACAGAGCUCCUUUUUUUCUUUGUGUUUUAUGGCAGGAUGCAAACUAACCAAUGGGUCCCUUAUCUAGAUGUCAUGUGACUUGUCCCCCUGUCAGUCUACUGUAUAGGUUAGGGGUUAUGGUUAGAGGUGUCCCUGUCAGUCUACUGUAUAGGUUAGGGGUUAUGGUUAGAGGUGUCCCUGUCAGUCUACUGUAUAGGUUAGGGGUUAUGGUUAGAGGUGUCCCUGUCAGUCUACUGUAUAGGUUAGGGGUUAUGGUUAGAGGUGUCCCCUGUCAGUCUACUGUAUAGGUUAGGGGUUAUGGUUAGGGGUGUCCCUGUCAGUCUACUGUAUAGGUUAGGGGUUAUGGUUAGAGGUGUCCCCUGUCAGUCUACUGUAUAGGUUAGGGGUUAUGGUUAGAGGUGUCCCCUGUCAGUCUACUGUAUAGGUUAGGGGUUAUGG